GAUGAACGCUAGCUACAGGCUUAACACAUGCAAGUCGAGGGGAAACGACAUCGAAAGCUUGCUUUUGAUGGGCGUCGACCGGCGCACGGGUGAGUAACGCGUAUCCAACCUGCCCACCACUUGGGGAUAACCUUGCGAAAGUAAGACUAAUACCCAAUGAUAUCUCUAGAAGACAUCUGAAAGAGAUUAAAGAUUUAUCGGUGAUGGAUGGGGAUGCGUCUGAUUAGCUUGUUGGCGGGGUAACGGCCCACCAAGGCUACGAUCAGUAGGGGUUCUGAGAGGAAGGUCCCCAACAUUGGAACGGAGACACGGUCCAAACGCCUACGGGAGGCAGCAGUGAGGAAUAUUGGUCAAUGGGCGAGAGCUUGAACCAGCCAAGUAGCGUGCAGGAUGACGGCCCUAUGGGUUGUAAACUGCUUUUAUAAGGGAAUAAAGUGAGCCUCGUGAGGCUUUUUGCAUGUACCUUAUGAAUAGGGACCGGCUAAUUCCGUGCCAGCCGCCGCCGUAA
rnacentral:rRNA from 1 species